rnacentral:rRNA from 1 species
UACAGAGGUCCCAAGCGUUGUUCGGAUUUACUGGGCGUAAAGGGUGCGUAGGAGGUUGGCAAAGUCGGAUGUGAAAUCUCACCGCUUAACGGUGAAAUUGCGUUCGAUACUGGUUGACUAGAGUAUCGGAGGGGAAAGCGGAAUUCCUGGUGUAGCGGUGAAAUGCGUAGAUAUCAGGAAGAACACCAACGGCGAAGGCAGCUUUCUGGACGAUAACUGACUCUGAGGCACGAAGGCUAGGGGAGCGAACGGG